UAGCAAGAAGCAAUAGUGACUCAACAGCUUAGUAGGAGCCCGCAACAGCUUUCUUGCAUACUUCCUUUCAUGCCUGGCCGCGUCGUCACAGCGACAACACGAAUCAAGUGCGGGGGAAGACGAGGCGGCGGCGGUGGGCACGGACCACGCCCAGCGCACGCUGACUCAUCGGCCCACGGCGGCCGGCCCGUCUGUCCGGGUCAGUCCAGUGAAGGAGAGCAGGACAAAGACGAGGGAGAGCAACAAAGCUACCCCUAGAUUUGCCGCAGCGAAGCGUGCUUACGAUGAAAUACGAUUCGCUCCGAUUGCAAACGAUACGUUCCCAGCCUCUCUCCUGACGAGCGAGCGAGCGAGCGAGCGAGCGCCGCUGUCUCAAUCCAUAAUCAGUAUGGUUGACGGUGGCUAUGACUCACCAGCUCCACAGAGCCGUAGUGCUUCCUGCUGAAGUCUCCACGCCGGCAGCCCAAGUCCUCCGAGGCUGAGCUGCAAGACAAACACACGCUGGGUAGGGAAUAAUGCUGCUGUUCUUUUCAAUGCGUGAAGAAAAGAGAUGACAAUGGUUGAGAAAGACCCAGCUCACGCCACGCCACCCUGCUCAGGUUCCUGGUGGAAAUGGAGGCGCUUAUACAUAAUACACGCUCGGAGCUUUUUCCAGCCUCACUCGCAUCCAGCGGGCGGGUCGGACCCGGCCGGCUACUACGCCCGCGCUCCUUUUUCAAGACGCAAGAUGAAACGACAGCAGAGAGGCUCACUUAUGAAAAAGACGUCUCCCGUUGCAGCAGUUGCCGCCAAGAUGCGGUGACUCAUUAGCGCCCCCGCUAUAGCGCGAUAAAAAUAUAUUGUAUGCCUGCUGCGUAACUCCGCUACUCUGCGUGCGUUUGAGUCGCUUGAGGGCUCAAACACACCGUAGUGUUUACGCCGCUCAAUGACAUGUUAGCAUUUCACUGACUUUGGUUAGACAAAAUAGUUCGGCUCAACAUUCUUCAUUCUGUUUUGUUUUACGGAUCAGUUUUAUAGUGAACUUCAUCUGGGGGUGACAAAGAAUUCAAUUGAAGCAAACACACUCGGCCUCUUUUUUGGUAAAUUCUUCCUUUCGUUCCUGUCAUGUCGUUACAAGAUGGCCGCCUACCGUUUUUUUCCGUGUAUAGUGCGCAAAAUUUAACUAAUUUAUUGUCCUAAAAUCUGGGGUGCGCAUUAUACAUGGGUACAAAAAAAAUUUUAAAUUUUUUUUUUUUUAAAUUUUUUUUUU